GUAAUACAUCGGAACGUGCCCAGUAGUGGGGGAUAGCCCGGCGAAAGCCGGAUUAAUACCGCAUACGACCUGAGGGUGAAGGCGGGGGAUCGCAAGACCUCGCGCUAUUGGAGCGGCCGGUGUCAGAUUAGGUAGUUGGUGGGGUAAAGGCCUACCAAGCCGACGAUCUGUAGCUGGUCUGAGAGGACGACCAGCCACACUGGGACUGAGACACGGCCCAGACUCCUACGGGAGGCAGCAGUGGGGAAUUUUGGACAAUGGGCGCAAGCCUGAUCCAGCCAUGCCGCGUGUGGGAAGAAGGCCUUCGGGUUGUAAACCACUUUUGUCAGGGAAGAAACGGCUUUGGUUAAUACCUGAGGCUAAUGACGGUACCUGAAGAAUAAGCACCGGCUAACUACGUGCCAGCAGCCGCGGUAAUACGUAGGGUGCGAGCGUUAAUCGGAAUUACUGGGCGUAAAGCGUGCGCAGGCGGCUAUGCAAGACAGAUGUGAAAUCCCCGGGCUUAACCUGGGAACUGCAUUUGUGACUGCAUGGCUAGAGUACGGCAGAGGGGGAUGGAAUUCCGCGUGUAGCAGUGAAAUGCGUAGAUAUGCGGAGGAACACCGAUGGCGAAGGCAAUCCCCUGGGCCUGUACUGACGCUCAUGCA
rnacentral:rRNA from 1 species